GUUCCAGGAAGGAGCCCCUGGAAGACAGCAACAAAGGCUCAACUGAGGACGCUUCCCAAUAUUUGAAGGUACCAACAAGACCUCUCCCGGCACCUGCAGAAAAGGCAAAAGAGACAAACCCUGAACAGGCAGAAGAAAUAAAACCUAGUGAGCUCGAGGAGGAUGAGGAUGCUGAAGAGCCUG